AAAAACAUGUCUUUAUGUUAGUAUUUAUAAAGUCUGGCCUGCCCACUGAAUAAAUUUAAAGGGCCGCGGUAUCUUGACCGUGCAAAGGUAGCAUAGUCAUUAGUCUUUUAAUUGGAGGCUUGUAUGAAUGGUCGCACAAGAAAUAAUUUGUCUUAACAGAAUCUAUUGAACUUAACUUUUAAGUAAAAAGGCUUAAAUAAGUUAAAGUGACGAUAAGACCCUAUAAAACUUUAUAAUUUAAACUAAGAAAGUAUAUUAGUUAUUUAAAAUUUUCUUUGUUAACGUUAUUUUAUUGGGGCGAUAAAAAUAAAAAUAGUAACUGUUUUUAAAAUUUAAAUGGUAAUUGCCAGUUUUAUUGAAUGAUCCUUUAGUAAAGAUUAUAAGAUUAAGUUACUUUAGGGAUAACAGCGUAAUUUUCUUUAAGAGCUCUUAUCUACAAGAAAGAUUGCGACCUCGAUGUUGAAUUAAAAUUUCUUUAAGGUGUAGCAGCUU
rnacentral:rRNA from 1 species